rnacentral:lncRNA from 1 species
UUUUUUUUUUUUUUUUUUUUGCCAUGUAGGUUUAAAAGCAUUUCUCUUGGUAACAAGGAUGGCUCAAGGGAGGGAUACAUGAAUCUCGCUGAGAAGGGGAAUCAGAACAGACAUCUCAAGUAGAUGGGGAGAGGGGACUGGACAGGGGUGGGGACAGGAACAGGAGGGAUCUGGUGGGAGGACGGAGGGAGAGAGUCCUGAAGAGACAACUUGAAGAGCAUGGGAGCCCAUCGCUGGGAUGCGCUAGGGCAAUAGAAACUCCCAGGAAUAAGUGAGGGUGACCCUAGCUACAACUCCUAGCAACGGGGAUUUGGGGCCUGAACAGGCCCUCUCCCGUAACCAGGCAACACUUCCAGUGGAGGGGCUGGGACAGCAGCCCAGCCACAAAACCUUCAAGGUACAAUAUGUCCUGCCUACAAGAUGUGCUGGGGUAAAGGUGGCUCAGAAAUUGUGAGAGUGGCCAACCAAUGACUGGUCCAGAUUGAGACCCAUGCCGUGAGAGAGAUCCUACCUCUGACAUUGCCCUGAAGGCCAGGAGCCAUAACUGCCCCCCCAACCCAUGUUAGAACCAAACAGCAAUGGCAAAAAAAAAAAAGUCAAAGAAAUUAUUCCUAAUCAUAUUCUGCUAUGCUCAUAGAUUGGUGUCUAGCUCAAUUAUCAUCAGAGAGGCUUCACCUAACAACUGAUGGAAACAGAUUCAGAGACCCACACCCAAACACUAGGUGGAGUUUGGGUAAUCCAAGGAAGAGGGGGAGGAAGGCUUGUAGGGGCCAGAGGGGCCAAGGACACCACAACACCCCCCCCCCCGCCCACACACACACACACACACACAUCAAGUAACCUGGGCCCAUAGGGGCUCACAGAAAUUGAACCACCAACCAGGGAGCCUAACUGGGACUCACCUAGGCCCUUCACACAUAUGUUACAGUUGUGUAGCUUGAUCUUGUGGGAUUCCUGACAGUGGGAGCAAGGACUGUCUCCCUCAGACUCUGUUGCCUGCCUCUGGGACUUUCCUCCCUACUUGGCUGACUUGUCUAGCCUUAAUAGAAGAGGCUGUAUCUUUCUGCAACCUGACAUGGCAUGGCAGGUUGAUAUCCACAGAGGCUGGCCCUCUUCUGAAGAGAAGUGAGAGGAGUGGACUGGGGGAGGGGAGAGGUGGCAGAGGCAUUGGGAAGAGCAACUGCUGUUGGGAUGUAAAAUUAAUAAAAUCAAAAAUUUAAGAAAGUUUUUUUUUUGUUACUCUGUAAGUGAAAAAAAAUCUGACUGGUGACAUGGCAUUUCUAUUAUUAUGAUGCCUGCUGGCAUUCCUGUGUGUGUCAUGCAGAGGGGAAGAAAAACUGCAGGCCCUCCUGUGUGAGUUCUAGAAAACAAUAGAAACACAGCUAUUGUUUCUGCCACCUUUCUGAUUUCUACUGGCACACAGUCACAGGUGUAUGUGUUUUGCAGAGAACCCAGCAUCCCUGGAUGUUAAGGACAGGGGUGGCAUCUCUCAUUUGCCAUAGCAGUUCUGCAGUAGAGAAGUCCCCGCCAUCUGCAUCAGUUGCGGUGAUGCUGGAAGAGGAGGCUCCAUUCCCUGGACCAUUUUCUGACCCUUCUCUAGGCUCCAAUUCUAUAAGCGCCCAAUCCCCUCUGCCUAAGACAGCUGCAGGUGACAGGUCAGAUGGUGCAGCUACAGAGGUGCGUGCUGUCAAGGCUGAUGCCUUGGGCUGGAUCCCUGGGACCCACAGUGGAAGGAGAGAACUAGCUCCUCACGAGCUCUGUCCUCAUGUGCUGUGUGUGGCAGUAGGCGCACACACCUCAUGUGCUGUGUGUGGCAGUAGGCGCACACACCUCAUGUGCUGUGUGUGGCAGCAGGCGCACACACCCAGAGAGGAGUGAGUGAAAAAUGAGAAGGCACUACGGCUGGAAAGACGUCACUCCUAUAACAUACUUCUCCCAUGGAAAUUAAAACUAGACCUAUAAUGUUUUGUUUCUUUUUAAAAAUUGGAGGUGAAUAUGUAAAUGUGUUAAAGUCAGGAGAGUGAGACCAUGGUUGUCAUUUAUUUUAUAUUUUCAAUAGUUUCAAAUUGUAAAAUUUUAAUGUUAUGAUAUAAGUCUGUGAAUGUCUAAUUUUAAUAGGCUUUUACUUAUGUAUUUACCCCAAAGUAAUUUAAGUCUUAAAAUCUUAUGUAAUAUUAGAACUUAAAAAAAAUCACAGCCGGGCUUGGUGGCGCACACCUUUAAUCCCAGCACUCGGGAGGCAGAGGCAGGUGGAUUUCUGAGUUCGAGGCCAGCCUGGUCUACAAAGUGAGUUCCAGGACAGCCAGGGAUAUACAGAGAAACCCUGUCUCUGGAAAAAAAAAAAAAUCACAAAACCUCAACUGCAUGAGAAUGUUUAGGGAAGUUAUUUAUUUUAUGUUUUCAUAAAUGUUGAGCAAAUGAGGCCUCUAAAAUAUACUUUCAGCUACUAGAGAUUCAUUUCCAUAUUAUUUAUAUUAACUCUUUUAAUACACAAAGUUGUUUUAUUGUUUCAAAAGAUGAUUACUGGUUUGAUAAAGAAAUGUUAAGGCCUUAAUAAUUAAUACUGGCUAGUUUUAUGUCAACUGGACACAAACUGGCAUUACCUGAAAGUAGAGAGCCUCAAGUAAGAAAAUGCUUUCGUAAGGUCUGACUGUAGGGCAGUUUCUUAAUUAGUGAUUGGUGGGGAAGGCCCAGCCCAUUGUGGGUGGUACCAUCCCUAGGCUGGUGAUGCUGGGUUCUAUAAGCAAGCAGGCUGAGCAAGUCACAACGAGCAAGCUGGUAAGCAGCACCGUCCAUGGCCUCAGCAUCAGCUCCUGCCUCCAGGUUCCCACACCGUGUGAGUUCCUGUCCCGAUUCCUUUGAAUGAUACAGAGAUGGAAGUCAGACAAACCCCUUCCUCCCCAGCUUGCUUCGGUUGUGGUGUUUUAUCGCAGCCGUAGUAAUCAUAACUAAAGCAAUGAUGUUCAAAACCUUUCACAUAUAAAUAGCAUCAUUAGAUUAGUGGAAGGAAACUUCUGGUAUUAAAGUUCCCCUUCAGAUUAGUGGUAGGAGAAUUAGCUCCUUAGUUAAACAUUUUUUGGUAUACUAAAAUAUAACUCGGAUACCAGAACAGGCUUAAAUUAGUGCUAUAGAAACAUCUGCUAUGCAGUACCUUUCAACUCUCUUAUAAAUCUUUUUUUUUUUUUCCCAAAAAGAAAGGUUUAUUUUAGGACUGGGUACGGUGACUCACAUCAAAUCCCAGCACUCAAGGUUAGAGGUAGAUGCAGGCAGAUCUGAGUUCGAGGCCAGCCUGGUCUACAAAAGAAUUCGAAGACAGCCAGGGCUACACAGAGAAACCCUGUCUCCACC